GACGAACGCUGGCGGCGUGCCUAAUACAUGCAAGUCGAGCGGAAGUUGGAGAGCUUGCUCUUCAACUUUAGCGGCGGACGGGUGAGUAACACGUGGGCAACCUGCCCUGCAGAUCGGGAUAACUCCGGGAAACCGGUGCUAAUACCGAAUAGUUUUCGCCACCUCCUGGUGGCGUACGGAAAGACGGUUUCGGCUGUCACUGCAGGAUGGGCCCGCGGCGCAUUAGCUAGUUGGUGGGGUAACGGCCCACCAAGGCGACGAUGCGUAGCCGACCUGAGAGGGUGAUCGGCCACACUGGGACUGAGACACGGCCCAGACUCCUACGGGAGGCAGCAGUAGGGAAUCUUCCGCAAUGGACGAAAGUCUGACGGAGCAACGCCGCGUGAGUGACGAAGGUUUUCGGAUCGUAAAACUCUGUUGUGAGGGAAGAACAAGUACCACUUAACUACUGGUACCUUGACGGUACCUCACCAGAAAGCCACGGCUAACUACGUGCCAGCAGCCGCGGUAACAC
rnacentral:rRNA from 1 species